ACAACAUUCGAACCGUCGGUCUACCGAGCAAUAUCACCCGCUCGGUGGAAGAUCUUCCUUCGUAGU
rnacentral:pre_miRNA from 1 species